rnacentral:lncRNA from 1 species
CACUGCAGCAUACAUCUAUACACAUAUAUCAGCUGUACUAGUACUUUACUUGUAAUUUUAUUAUGAACUUUUAUUUUAAACAAUUACAAUCUGAAAUGAAAGCAUGUUCUGAAUGUAUACUCCUUCAGGUAAGAUAAUGAGAGAUUGUAAUGACUACAAAAAUUGGUUUACGAAACAAAAUAGAAACACAUAAAAACACACACUCUUCACCUCAAAUAGUCCUCCACAAAAAAACAAAAACCAUUUCAUUGGCCUUAAUUGUGGGACUGUGCCACUGAUUUCAGCCCAACAUUUUUACUUUGUUCUAUUACUUUCUUGUCAUAUUAAAAAUUAAUUUAUAGCAGGAAAUAUGUGUAUUUAUGUUAGAAAAUGUAAUCUGUCUGCGUACAUUCUGUAAUGCAUAUUUAGACAUUUGAUCUAGUGUGUUUAUACUCACAUGGGAUCAAAAGUCACUGCUUCAUCAUUGAGAUAAUCAGGCCGAUCCAUGGAUCUGUCACUCUUCACAGACACACAGCUGGGAUCUGAAGAUCUCCAGUCCAUCAUGAAGGUCCAGACCGCAGCACUGGUUCUCUCUGCUGUCCUGCACACAGAAUACAGUCUGAAGUCAGGCUGAAGAUUAAUUUACUGAUUAAAUCACACACUGACUGCAAACACAGCAAAGCUUGUCUUUGUAUUUACCUUCAAAUUUCCGUUAAACAUUCAAGUCCUGUUUUUAUUUCUGUCAAAGAAAACUAAUAAUUUGUAGUGGUUUUCAUCAGUGAUAGUAAUCUUGUGUUCUCAGUUGUAUUCCUUCAUCUGUGUGUCGUUGCAUUGAGGUUUAUUUAUUUUCGCUGAAGCCAUAGUGUUAAAUGUCCAUUAUUAUAAGAUCAGUGGAUGAGUUUAUCUGGUUUUUAACGUGGUCACAGCUUUGCUUUCUGAUAAUCUGAUAUGCCCUUUAAAUCAAUUUAUUAAAUGUGAUCAAAUCACAAGUUACAUGUAACGCUGUUAUGUAUUUUAAUUACAAAUUAAAUAAAUAAAUGUAACUGUUAUCUGUUACAGUUACUGAGAAAAAAAUGUGCAAUUGAAUUACACUAACUUAUGAAAUUGUAAAGAUUACAAAGGGUGUUACAUCUGGAUAUAUUCU